UUAUUUUUGUAACUUAACAUUUCGUUAUUGUUUACAUUCUGUUUGUUUACUUUGUUAGUCUUGUCAAGUAUCAGCUGUCAAAUUCGACACACAGGAUAGAUUUUCAGUUGUUGUCUGUGGCCCUUUGAGAAAACUCGUGCUAGAUCGUCAUCGGACAGUGGUCAGUGGCGACAUGACGCUCAGAACAAUGAUCGUGCUGACUGGCCACAGAGUAGUUUUGUGACGAUGAGCUGACAUCCCCGGUGACGGCUUUUUCGGAACUGGCAAGGAGGCAAACCAUUCUCUGUCAGAACGUCUCGAGUAAAUGUGUGGUUAGAUUUUUCUUCCCGCCCGCGUGGCGCAGGCCGUAUUGGUACCAAGUUCCUUGCUUCAUAUUUCCUGUUACCAGAUACGUGCCACAGACACCCACGCAGCAUCACACCAUGUGUACCUAACCUGAAUUGCCGACAAUUUCAAUCCUGCCCGGUGAAGCGUGCGAUUGCCAGACGCGUGUCACCUGACCCAACCCCAAGAAGGUGUCGUUGGUGACCAGAGCCGUCAGCGAGCCACGAGCCGUCCGGAGCUCCUGUCCUGGCCCCGUCCGGCAGUCCAGGUUGGCCGUUGUAUGUUCGUUGAGCGGAUACUGAGGAAUUUCCUUAGGAUUUCUAUUAAUCUUCAGCGGCAUCAGCCUUCUAACGCCGCUGCUGAAUGUAGGAUUGCAAAGGCAGAACCCGGGUGGACUCUAGCGGGUUAAAACCUUUAUUUUAUUAAUUUUUUUUUCCUUGUUAGGGAGCCCCGUUAGGACGGGCAGUAGUAUCUAAAUUGCACUUUGAACCUUUUGUAGGCGCUAGGCUGUCAACGUCCUUCGGUUACGGGGCCUUAACGUUAAACUGCUAUCCCAUUGAAGUAAUAUAGAAGUUUCUCUGGGGUUAAUACCAUCUUUCUAUCCCUGUGGCGUGAAACACAGGGGUAGAACCUUUGGUUUC